CACGCCACCGCAAAACAGCCUAAAGCGGCAGGCUUAAUCACCAUUGCAAAGUCGGAGGGGCAGCAGGGGUGUAGCAAUACACUCGCUGGCGACCGGCAAACGGGUGCGGAACACGUACGCAACUUACCCAUAACUGGUGAAUAGCCCUCCGAAAGGAGGAUUAAUACACCGUAACCUUGUGAGAUGGCAUCAUUUUACAAGUAUAGCUCCGGCGGUUAUGGAUGGGCGUGCGCCUGAUUAGGUAGUUGGUGUGGGUAACGGCCCACCAAGCCUUCGAUCAGUAACUGGUGUGAGAGCACGACCAGUCACACGGGCACUGAGACACGGGCCCGACUCCUACGGGAGGCAGCAGUAAGGAAUAUUGGUCAAUGGACGCAAGUCUGAACCACCCCCUGCCGCGUGAAGGAUGAAGGUCCUCCUGGAUUGUAAACUUCUUUUUAGGGGGACGAAACCCCCCGGGAUUUCUUCCCCGGGACUGACGGUACCCUUGGGAAUAAACCACCCGGCUUAACUCCGUGCCAACCAGCCCGCGGU
rnacentral:rRNA from 1 species